CGUCUAUAUACGUAUAGCAUAUCAAUAAGCGGAGGAAAAGAAACUAACAAGGAUUCCCCUAGUAACGGCGAGUGAAGCGGGAAGAGCUCAAAUUUGAAAUCUUCAAGGGUUUCCCUUGACGAAUUGUAGUUUAAAGAAGUGUUUUCUGUUAGAGAGGUGGUAAAAGUUCUUUGGAAUAGGACAUCAUAGAGGGUGAGAAUCCCGUACUUGACCAUUAUUUCCAGCUGUGUGAUACACUUUCAAAGAGUCGGAUUGUUUGGGAAUGCAGCCCAAAAUGGGUGGUAAACUUCAUCUAAAGCUAAAUAUUGGCGAGAGACCGAUAGCGAACAAGUACCGUGAGGGAAAGAUGAAAAGAACUUUGAAAAGAGAGUUAAACAGUACGUGAAAUUGUCAAAAGGGAAGCGUUUGACACCAGUGUUGUUUUCUCGAAAAUCAAUUAAAAAUGCCGAUUUAUGUAAGUUGUAUUGACUUUAUCAGGCUUUCUGCUACGUUUUUCGUGUCUUUUUUGAUGCACUUUUCGGUUAACAAGUCAACAUCAAUUUCUUUUGUUGUAAAAGAGUCAUUGGAAGGUGGCUUUCAUUUCGGUGAAAGUGUUUAUAGCCUUUGACUUCUGCAAUCGGAGAGAUUGAGGUCUGCAGCGUAGAUCCUUCGGGGUUGGAUACAUUUGUGCUAAGUUAUAGUUUUUCAUAGACAACAUGUUGACUAUGAUUAAUCAUGUAGCUUACUCGCUUAUGCUACUUUACCUACGCUUAGGAUGUUGAAGAUAUGCGCGACACG
rnacentral:rRNA from 1 species